ensembl:snRNA U6 U6 spliceosomal RNA
GUGCUUGCCUCUGUAGCACAUAUACUAAAAUUGGAAGGAUGCAGAGAAGAUUAGCAUGGCCCCUGCCCAA